rnacentral:misc_RNA from 1 species
AAGAGUUUGAAGACUAGGCAACUAGUUGAUCUCUCACCCAUGAAUUCUUUACUUGUUGCUUCGGUGGUGAGUCCGAUGAAAAGUCAGACGAACCACCAAAGUGAUAAAACUUCUUGUUUCUACAGUCUGAGAAUACAUUCAAAUUAUGAA